rnacentral:tRNA from 1 species
GCGGAUGUAACUCAAUUGGCAGAGUACGAACCUUCCAAGUUUGAGGUUGUGGGUUCGAGUCCCAUCAUCCGCU